UACAGAGGGGGCAAGCGUUGUUCGGAAUUACUGGGCGUAAAGGGCGCGUAGGCGGCCUUCUAAGUCGAACGUGAAAUCCCUGGGCUCAACCCAGGAACUGCGUCCGAUACUGGGAGGCUUGAAUCCGGGAGAGGGAUGCGGAAUUCCAGGUGUAGCGGUGAAAUGCGUAGAUAUCUGGAGGAACACCGGUGGCGAAGGCGGCAUCCUGGACCGGUAUUGACGCUGAGGCGCGAAAGCUAGGGUAGCAAACGGG
rnacentral:rRNA from 1 species